rnacentral:rRNA from 1 species
AGUCGAGGGGCAGCAUUUUAGUUUGCUUGCAAACUGAAGAUGGCGACCGGCGCACGGGUGAGUAACACGUAUCCAACCUGCCGAUAACUCGGGGAUAGCCUUUCGAAAGAAAGAUUAAUAUCCGAUNGUAUAUUAAAACCGCAUGGUUUUACUAUUAAAGAAUUUCGGUUAUCGAUGGGGAUGCGUUCCAUUAGUUUGUUGGCGGGGUAACGGCCCACCAAGACUACGAUGGAUAGGGGUUCUGAGAGGAAGGUCCCCCACAUUGGAACUGAGACACGGUCCAAACUCCUACGGGAGGCAGCAGUGAGGAAUAUUGGUCAAUGGACGAGAGUCUGAACCAGCCAAGUAGCGUGAAGGAUGACUGCCCUAUGGGUUGUAAACUUCUUUUAUAUGGGAAUAAAGUAUUCCACGUGUGGGAAUUUUGUAUGUACCCAUAUGAAUAAGGAUCGGCUAACUUCCGUGCCAGCAGCCGCGGUAAUACGGAGGAUCCGAGCGUUAUCCGGAUUUAUUGGGUUUAAANGGGAGCGUAGGUGGAUUGUUAAGUCAGUUGUGAAAGUUUGCGGCUCAACCGUAAAAUUGCAGUUGAAACUGGCAGUCUUGAGUACAGUAGAGGUGGGCGGAAUUCGUGGUGUAGCGGUGAAAUGCUUAGAUAUCACGAAGAACUCCGAUUGCGAAGGCAGCUCACUAGACUGCAACUGACACUGAUGCUCGAAAGUGUGGGUAUCAAACAGGAUUAGAUACCCUGGUAGUCCACACAGUAAACGAUGAAUACUCGCUGUUUGCGAUAUACAGUAAGCGGCCAAGCGAAAGCAUUAAGUAUUCCACCUGGGGAGUACGCCGGCAACGGUGAAACUCAAAGGAAUUGACGGGGGCCCGCACAAGCGGAGGAACAUGUGGUUUAAUUCGAUGAUACGCGAGGAACCUUACCCGGGCCUAAAUUGCAAAUGAAUAAUCUGGAAACCAGGUUAGCCGCAAGGCAUUUGUGAAGGUGCUGCAUGGUUGUCGUCAGCUCGUGCCGUGAGGUGUCGGCUUAAGUGCCAUAACGAGCCCAACCCUUAUCUUUAGUUACUAACAGGUCAUGCUGAGGACUCUAGAGAGACUGCCGUCGUAAGAUGUGAGGAAGGUGGGGAUGACGUCAAAUCAGCACGGCCCUUACGUCCGGGGCUACACACGUGUUACAAUGGGGGGUACAGAAGGCAGCUACCUGGCGACAGGAUGCUAAUCCCAAAAACCUCUCUCAGUUCGGAUCGAAGUCUGCAACCCGACUUCGUGAAGCUGGAUUCGCUAGUAAUCGCGCAUCAGCCAUGGCGCGGUGAAUACGUUCCCGGGCCUUGUACACACCGCCCGUCAAGCCAUGAAAGCCGGGGGUACCUGAAGUACGUACCGCAAGGAGCUCCUAGG